rnacentral:rRNA from 1 species
AGCAGCCGCGGUAAUUCCAGCUCCAAUAGCGUAUAUUAAAGUUGUUGCAGUUAAAAAGCUCGUAGUUGAAUUUCGGGAUCAAUAUGUUGGUCGUGCCUUGGUACGUACUGGCAUCAUUGGUUUCUACCUUCUGAAGAACCCCGAUGUCAUUAAUUUGGUGUCGUGGGGAAUCAGGACUGUUACUUUGAAAAAUUAGAGUGUUUAAAGCAAGCUAACGCUUGAAUACAUUAGCAUGGAAUAAUGAAGUAGGACGUUUGAUCCUAUUUUAUUGGUUUCUAGGAUCGACGUAAUGAUUAAUAGGGAUAGUUAGGGGCAUUAGCAUUCAAUUGUCAGAGGUGAAAUUCUUGGAUUUAUUGAAGACUAACUACUGCGAAAGCAUUUGCCAAGGAUGUUUCAUUAAUCAAGAACGAAAGUUAGGGGAUCGAAGACGAUCAGAUACCGUCGUAGUCUUAACCAUAAACUAUGCCGACUAGGGAUCGGAUGAUGUUAAUUUUUAAUGACUCAUUCGGCGCCUUAAC